rnacentral:rRNA from 1 species
CCUACGGGUGGCAGCAGUGGGGAAUAUUGCACAAUGGGCGUAACACUGAUCCAGCCACGUAGCGUGAGGGAGGAAGUAUUUCUGUAUGGUAAGCUCCAUUAGUAGGGAAGAAAAUUACGGUACCUGACUAAGAAUGUCCGUAUAACGACGUGCCAGCAGCCCCGAUAAUACGUAAGGGGCAAGCGUUAUCCGGAUUUACUGGGUGUAAAGGGAGCGUAGACGGUUAAUCAAGUCAGAAGUGAAAAGCCAGGGCUCAACCUUGGGACUGCUUUUGAAACUGAGUAGCUAGAGUGCGGGGGAGGUAAGCGGAAUUCCUGGUGUAGCGGUGAAAUGCGUAGAUAUUAGGAGGAACACCAGUGGCGAAGGCGGCUUACUGGACUGUAACUGACGUUGAGGCUCGAAGGCGUGGGGAGCAAACAGGAUUAGAUACCCCUGUAGUC